UAAUAGAUGAUAAGAUCAGAAGAAAGUAGAACACAUUAAAAUGUCUCAAUUGUUUUCCGAUUAUGAAAAACACUUUGGCAUAAUUACAGCAGAUAUUGUUGCCAAAACAAAUAAAUUACCAAAUGUUCAAGGAGAUGAAAAAAGAGAACUGGUGACAAGUCUGGAUCAAAAGUUUGAUGAUGCUCAAGAACUAUUAGAGCAGAUGGACCUCGAAGUUAGAACUCUUUCGGCAGAGCACAAACAAAAAUGCAGUGUCAAACUAAAAAACUAUAAGACUGAAUUAAAAAAUCUUGAACAAAAUAUGAAAAAAGCCAAGUUUGCUUUUUCUAAUCAGGAUCUAUUACGAUCAGAACUGUUAAGAGGUGAUGAUGGUCCUCACUCAGAAGAUCAGCGAUCUAAUCUUUUGGAUAAUUCAACUAGACUGGAGAGAUCAAAUAGAAGGUUAGAAGAAGGAUACAAAAUAUGUUUGGAAACAGAACAAAUUGGUCACGAAAUUAUGGACAAUUUAUCUAGAGAUCGCGAAACGAUGACUCGAACGAGAGAUCGGCUUCGUACAACAAAUACAGAUCUUUCAAAAAGUUCAAGAAUUCUAACGGCAAUGAUGAGAAGGUGAAUUUAUGUUGUUUAUCUCGCUGUUCUCGUUUUUAACAGUUUAUUAAUGAAGUCAGUGGCCUUUCUAGAAAAGGGUUAUUCAAAAUCGAAUUUUACUUGUUUUUGUAUGUUUGUGCCUCAUUUCAGUAAUAAUUGUUGUCAUUUAUUUCUCUGUAAGAAAGUAAUAUAACAAGCAGUCACUGUUUGUUAUAUAAAAGUAAAAUAAGCGAAACUAUAUUUUCUUCUGUUUAAAUAAAAGAAGCAUUAUUUUUAUACGAAUCUAUUGCUGCAGUUAAACUCUCAAGCCAAACAUUCUAAAAUCUUUUAAUAUUCAAAAAUAUUUGCUUUGAAACACUGAAUAUUUUGGAUAUUUACUGUAAUUAUUUAUAAAUAUCUUUUAGAUAUUUUUGCACAAUACCAUCAAUAUACCAUCAUUAAUAUCAUUUUACUACUUUUUUAUUUUAUUAAUAAUUUAUUUACUAGUUUGAUUAAUUCAUCAACCUGUAGGUUCUAUAAAUUUAUGUAAAAUAUAUUUAAAAAUGUAGUUUUUUAA